rnacentral:rRNA from 1 species
UGGGGAAUAUUGGACAAUGGGCGCAAGCCUGAUCCAGCCAUGCCGCGUGAGUGAUGAAGGCCUUAGGGUUGUAAAGCUCUUUCGCCGACGAAGAUAAUGACGGUAGUCGGAGAAGAAGCCCCGGCUAACUUCGUGCCAGCAGCCGCGGUAAUACGAAGGGGGCUAGCGUUGUUCGGAAUCACUGGGCGUAAAGCGCACGUAGGCGGAUUGUUAAGUCAGGGGUGAAAGCCUGGAGCUCAACUCCAGAACUGCCCUUGAUACUGGCAAUCUCGAGUCCGGAAGAGGUAAGUGGAACUGCGAGUGUAGAGGUGAAAUUCGUAGAUAUUCGCAAGAACACCAGUGGCGAAGGCGGCUUACUGGUCCGGUACUGACGCUGAGGUGCGAAAAGCGUGGGGAGCAAAACAGGAUUAGAUACCCUGGUAGUCCACGCCGUAAAACGAUGGAGGCUAGCCGUUGGCGAGCAUGCUCUCAGUGGCGCAGCUAACGCAUUAAGCCUCCCGCCUGGGGGAGUACGGUCGCAAGAUUAAAACUCAAAGGAA